GAAGCAUUUGUUUGGACGGUUUUCUACAUGUGUGAUUGUCUGUGUAAAUGCUAAUUCAAGUUUGUGUGCACUUUGUGGUGUUUCUAGGGAAACAGGUACACACAAGCAGAGUGUUGUCCAAUGGAGUAUGUGGAUCAGAAGGCCUCUUACUCCAGUCUUUAUGUGGGCUACCAACCAUGCGGCGUGGUCAAGGCAGAGGAACUAUGCAAAUGCUCGACUGCCUGGUGCUAAUCAAGACUUUCCUGUCUUUCCAUGUGAGAAUCUGAGAAUCCUCAGAGUUCCUUAGCCACCAACGAUUUAUGGGACUGAUUUUUUUUUUUAGCAUGAAUAGAGGCAGUAGAACUCAAUUCCCAGUGCUUAAAGGCCUGCAAAUCUGUGGGUUGUUUGUGAUUACAUUGUUUAACAUAGAAGCUCUUUUAGGUUUUUGGAGAUUCUUUAGAGGUCAGUGUUGAAUAUAAUAUUGUCUUCUGUAUGUUAUGUUGUUUGUUGUUGUUGUUGUUGUAUGUUGUUGUAUGUUGUUCUUCUUCUAAGGCAUCUUCCUUUUCUACACUCUUAAAAUAAAGGUGCCAGAAAGGGUAGAAGAACCAUAGAGGAACCUCUUUUGGAUCCCUAAACCAGUUGAUCUCAACCACCCACUUCACCCACCCACUUGCAGGCAAAACACUAAAAAGUGCAGGACAGGCGAUCUUCCAGGACCAGAGUUGCACUGCUCCUGCCCCACCAGCUCUGGGCCUAUUACAGUCAUCAUGUUUCUUCAUUCACAUUUUGUUCAAAAUAUGGCGAGAAUGUGGAAUCAUGAACCCAGUAUCAUAAAUUGAAUCGGUUUGUCAGUAUAUGCCAACACCCUAGUAUUCUAAACUCUAGUACUUUUUAAUUAU
ensembl:lncRNA